rnacentral:lncRNA from 1 species
CUUCUAAUGAACUCCUAUGUUGUGGUGAAGUCCUUAGGACUAUUUAGACUCGACAAAGGAGGAUUUAUCGUUUAGUCCUUAAAUCUGUUCGCGACCAAAUGAUACGUUGUUACCAAGGACGACAACGUUUAUCAAGCAUAGGUCGUUGUGUGCCAUAUAGGUUGGUUGUCCUCUUAACCAAUGAGUGUGGAGACACUGGUAUGGCAUAC